GAGUUUGAUCCUGGCUCAGGACGAACGCUGGCGGCGUGCUUAACACAUGCAAGUCGAACGAUGAAGUUAUGACGGAGGCUUCGGCCGACUGAAUGAUGGAUUAGUGGCGGACGGGUGAGUAACGCGUGAGUAACCUGCCUUUCAGAGGGGGACAACAGUUGGAAACGACUGCUAAUACCGCAUGACACAUAGGUGUCGCAUGGCACUUAUGUCAAAGAUUUAUCGCUGAAAGAUGGCCUCGCGUCUGAUUAGCUAGUUGGUGAGGUAACGGCCCACCAAGGCGACGAUCAGUAGCCGGACUGAGAGGUUGAACGGCCACAUUGGGACUGAGAUACGGCCCAGACUCCUACGGGAGGCAGCAGUGGGGAAUAUUGGGCAAUGGGCGCAAGCCUGACCCAGCAACGCCGCGUGAAGGAAGAAGGCUUUCGGGUUGUAAACUUCUUUUGUCAGGGACGAGUAGAAGACGGUACCUGACGAAUAAGCCACGGCUAACUACGUGCCAGCCGCCGCGGUAAUAC
rnacentral:rRNA from 1 species